rnacentral:lncRNA from 1 species
UUCUUUUUUCCUUUAAUAAUCUUUUAAUAUGCAUUCCACUUCACCUAACCAACUUAGAUCUACAUGUUUGUUUAGGCUUUUCAAAUUGAUAAUUUUUUUGAGGAGGAUGGCUUGAUUUUAUAUGAAUUUAUCAAGUGAAGAUUCUAUUUCUUAAAGAAGAGAUAGUGGGUUAUAUAAAGAAGGAGAGUAUUAUUGAGAUAGAUGGUUCAUAAGGUAGGUUAGGGUAUAUAUGGAUGAUGGCUUUUGAUUGUUUCCCCAUACAUAACUAGAAUCAUCCUCUC